CUCACCUUCGGCCUUCUGGGGAGACCAGCUGCCGCAGAACCAGAACCUUCGGCGAUGGAAGGGCUGCCAGGUUUCCGAACUCGGCCCCGAAAGCUGAAGUCCCUUCCUCCUUGGUGGAGCAGGGCUUGUGGAAAGACCAUGUGAGGAUACAGUGAGAAGAGGUCAUCUACAAGCCAAGGAGAGAGCUCUCACCAGAAACCAACCCUGCUGGCAUCUUGAUCUUGGACUUCCAGCCUCCAGAACGGACUUCCCUGGUGGCGCAGUGGUCAAGAAUCUGCCUGCCAACGCAGGGGACACAGGUUCAAGUCCUGGUCUGGGAAGAUCCCACAUGCCAUGGAGCAACUAAGCCCAUGUGCCACAACUACUGAGCCUGAGAGCCACAACUACUGAGCCCGCAUGCCACAACUGCUGAAGCCUGCACGCCUAGAGCUGGUGCUCCACAACAAGAGAAGCCACUGCAAUGAGAAACCUGUGCUCCGCCACAAAGAAUAGCCCCUGCUCGCCGCAAAUAGAGAAAGCCCACGCGCAGCAGUGAAGACCCGACACAGCCAAAAAAAAAAUAAAUGCAAAUAAGUUGUUGAAUUCUUUAGAAAAAAUGUGCUGACAUUUUGAUAGGAAUUGCAUUGAAUUUAUAGAUUAAUUUGGAGAAAGUUGACUGCCUCACAAUGUUAAAUUUUCUCCUCCACAAAUAUGGUAUAUAUCCAUUUUCCAGGUUUUCCUUUAUGUUCUUUAAUAGUGUUAACUUUUCUCCAGCAUGGUCUUAUACAUUCAUUGUUCGGUUGAUUCCUAGAUUCUUUAUAGUUUUUCUUGCUAUCGUAAUUAAAGUCUCAUGUUUCUGUU